GACGAACGCUGGCGGCGUGCUUAACACAUGCAAGUCGAACGGAAAGGCCCUGCUUUUGUGGGGUGCUCGAGUGGCGAACGGGUGAGUAACACGUGAGUAACCUGCCCUUGACUUUGGGAUAACUUCAGGAAACUGGGGCUAAUACCGGAUAGGAGCUCCUGCUGCAUGGUGGGGGUUGGAAAGUUUCGGCGGUUGGGGAUGGACUCGCGGCUUAUCAGGUUGUUGGUGGGGUAGUGGCUUACCAAGGCGUUGACGGGUAGCCGGCCUGAGAGGGUGACCGGCCACAUUGGGACUGAGAUACGGCCCAGACUCCUACGGGCGGCAGCAGUGGGGAAUAUUGCACAAUGGGCGGAAGCCUGAUGCAGCAACGCCGCGUGCGGGAUGACGGCCUUCGGGUUGUAAACCGCUUUCGCCUGUGACGAAGCGUGAGUGACGGUAAUGGGUAAAGAAGCACCGGCUAACUACGUG
rnacentral:rRNA from 1 species